AAUAUUGCACAAUGGGCGCAAGCCUGAUGCAGCCAUGCCGCGUGUAUGAAGAAGGCCUUACGGGUUGUAAAGUACUUUCAGCAGUGAGGAAGUGGGUAUGUUAAUAGCAUACUCAUUUGACGUUAGCUGCAGAAGAAGCACCGGCUAACUCCGUGCCAGCAGCCGCGGUAAUACGGAGGGUGCGAGCGUUAAUCGGAAUUACUGGGCGUAAAGCGCAUGCAGGUGGUUUGUUAAGUCAGAUGUGAAAGCCCGGGGCUCAACCUCGGAAUUGCAUUUGAAACUGGCAAACUAGAGUACUGUAGAGGGGGUAGAAUUUCAGGUGUAGCGGUGAAAUGCGUAGAGAUCUGAAGGAAUACCGGUGGCGAAGGCGGCCCCCUGGACAGAUACUGACACUCAGAUGCGAAAGCGUGGGGAGCAAACAGGAUUAGAUACCCUGGUAG
rnacentral:rRNA from 1 species